GGGUUGUGAGGUUAAGCGACUAAGCGUACACGGUGGAUGCCCUGGCAGUCAGAGGCGAUGAAGGACGUGCUAAUCUGCGAAAAGCGUCGGUAAGGUGAUAUGAACCGUUAUAACCGGCGAUGUCCGAAUGGGGAAACCCAGUGCAAUUCGUUGCACUAUCGUUAACUGAAUACAUAGGUUAACGAGGCGAACCGGGGGAACUGAAACAUCUAAGUACCCCGAGGAAAAGAAAUCAACCGAGAUUCCCCCAGUAGCGGCGAGCGAACGGGGAGCAGCCCAGAGUCUGAAUCAGCUUGUGUGUUAGUGGAACGGUCUGGAAAGUCCGACGGUACAGGGUGAUAGUCCCGUACACCAAAAUGCACAGGUUGUGAACUCGAAGAGUAGGGCGGGACACGUGGUAUCCUGUCUGAAUAUGGGGGGACCAUCCUCCAAGGCUAAAUACUCCUGACUGACCGAUAGUGAACCAGUACCGUGAGGGAAAGGCGAAAAGAACCCCGGCGAGGGGAGUGAAAAAGAACCUGAAACCGUGUACGUACAAGCAGUGGGAGCACCUUCGGGUGUGACUGCGUACCUUUUGUAUAAUGGGUCAGCGACUUAUAUUCUGUAGCAAGGUUAACCGUAUAGGGGAGCCGCAGGGAAACCGAGUCUUAACUGGGCGUUAAGUUGCAGGGUAUAGACCCGAAACCCGGUGAUCUAGCCAUGGGCAGGUUGAAGGUUGGGUAACACUAACUGGAGGACCGAACCGACUAAUGUUGAAAAAUUAGCGGAUGACUUGUGGCUGGGGGUGAAAGGCCAAUCAAACCGGGAGAUAGCUGGUUCUCCCCGAAAGCUAUUUAGGUAGCGCCUCGUGAACUCAUCUUCGGGGGUAGAGCACUGUUUCGGCUAGGGGGUCAUCCCGACUUACCAACCCGAUGCAAACUACGAAUACCGAAGAAUGUUAUCACGGGAGACACACGGCGGGUGCUAACGUCCGUCGUGAAGAGGGAAACAACCCAGACCGCCAGCUAAGGUCCCAAAGUCACAGUUAAGUGGGAAACGAUGUGGGAAGGCACAGACAGCCAGGAUGUUGGCUUAGAAGCAGCCAUCAUUUAAAGAAAGCGUAAUAGCUCACUGGUCGAGUCGGCCUGCGCGGAAGAUGUAACGGGGCUAAACUGUGCACCGAAGCUGCGGCAGCGACACUAUGUGUUGUUGGGUAGGGGAGCGUUCUGUAAGCCUGCGAAGGUGGCCUGUGAGGGUUGCUGGAGGUAUCAGAAGUGCGAAUGCUGACAUAAGUAACGAUAAAGCGGGUGAAAAGCCCGCUCGCCGGAAGACCAAGGGUUCCUGUCCAACGUUAAUCGGGGCAGGGUGAGUCGACCCCUAAGGCGAGGCCGAAAGGCGUAGUCGAUGGGAAACAGGUUAAUAUUCCUGUACUUGGUGUUACUGCGAAGGGGGGACGGAGAAGGCUAUGUUAGCCGGGCGACGGUUGUCCCGGUUUAAGCAUGUAGGCUGGUUAUCCAGGCAAAUCCGGAUAAUCAAGGCUGAGGUGUGAUGACGAGGCACUACGGUGCUGAAGUAACAAAUGCCCUGCUUCCAGGAAAAGCCUCUAAGCAUCAGGUAACAUUAAAUCGUACCCCAAACCGACACAGGUGGUCAGGUAGAGAAUACCAAGGCGCUUGAGAGAACUCGGGUGAAGGAACUAGGCAAAAUGGUGCCGUAACUUCGGGAGAAGGCACGCUGGUGUGUAGGUGAAGCCCCUGCGGGUGGAGCUGAGACCAGUCGAAGAUACCAGCUGGCUGCAACUGUUUAUUAAAAACACAGCACUGUGCAAACACGAAAGUGGACGUAUACGGUGUGACGCCUGCCCGGUGCCGGAAGGUUAAUUGAUGGGGUUAUCCGUAAGGAGAAGCUCUUGAUCGAAGCCCCGGUAAACGGCGGCCGUAACUAUAACGGUCCUAAGGUAGCGAAAUUCCUUGUCGGGUAAGUUCCGACCUGCACGAAUGGCGUAAUGAUGGCCAGGCUGUCUCCACCCGAGACUCAGUGAAAUUGAACUCGCUGUGAAGAUGCAGUGUACCCGCGGCAAGACGGAAAGACCCCGUGAACCUUUACUAUAGCUUGACACUGAACAUUGAGCCUUGAUGUGUAGGAUAGGUGGGAGGCUUUGAAGCGUGGACGCCAGUCUGCGUGGAGCCAACCUUGAAAUACCACCCUUUAAUGUUUGAUGUUCUAACGUUGGCCCCUGACCGGGGUUGCGGACAGUGUCUGGUGGGUAGUUUGACUGGGGCGGUCUCCUCCCAAAGCGUAACGGAGGAGCACGAAGGUUAGCUAAUCCUGGUCGGACAUCAGGAGGUUAGUGCAAUGGCAUAAGCUAGCUUGACUGCGAGCGUGACGGCGCGAGCAGGUGCGAAAGCAGGUCAUAGUGAUCCGGUGGUUCUGAAUGGAAGGGCCAUCGCUCAACGGAUAAAAGGUACUCCGGGGAUAACAGGCUGAUACCGCCCAAGAGUUCAUAUCGACGGCGGUGUUUGGCACCUCGAUGUCGGCUCAUCACAUCCUGGGGCUGAAGUAGGUCCCAAGGGUAUGGCUGUUCGCCAUUUAAAGUGGUACGCGAGCUGGGUUUAGAACGUCGUGAGACAGUUCGGUCCCUAUCUGCCGUGGGCGCUGGAGAAUUGAGGGGGGCUGCUCCUAGUACGAGAGGACCGGAGUGGACGCAUCACUGGUGUUCGGGUUGUCAUGCCAAUGGCACUGCCCGGUAGCUAAAUGCGGAAGAGAUAAGUGCUGAAAGCAUCUAAGCACGAAACUUGCCCCGAGAUGAGUUCUCCCUGAGACUUUAAGUCUCCUGAAGGAACGUUGAAGACGACGACGUUGAUAGGCCGGGUGUGUAAGCGCAGCGAUGCGUUGAGCUAACCGGUACUAAUGAACCGUGAGGCUUAACCUUACAACGCCGAAG
rnacentral:rRNA from 1 species